UUUUUCUCUUCUUCUCCAAAGAAAAGAGGAGACCACCGCCUCUCUCUCGUCUCCAAAAAUAGAGACAAACCACCGCCCCUCCUUCUCUCCACCACUUCGCCCCACCUCAGUGCCAAGAACACCGCCGCACCACUCUCUCUCUCUUCCUCUUCCUCCGUUAUUCCUUUCCUUUUCGCUGCCAGUGAAACAAAACAGUGAGAGCAGCGUCGCCCUCCUCUUUCCGUCUCUCUCCACCGGCGAGACCACUAACUCACUGUCAUCACUCUUCUCCUCUCCAUCUUCAUUCUCUCCCUCAUCCCGCCAUGUUCUCUCAUAUCUCCAUCUACUAACAAAUGCUGGAUUCUAACGAGGCCCACCACCAUACCAUGCAACCAUACGCCGACCAACGAACUCCGACAAAAGACUAAAGCUUGAGGUUUUGGUCUACUAAAGACGGAUCUUAACAGAUCCAUCUAGGAUUUAGCUCAUUCAGGAGAACAAUGGGUACACCCUUCUAGCUCUACAGACUAAAAGAAGCGAUAAACUUCUCUUCUUCACUCCCUUUCACAUUAUUUGUAAGCUUUCAUAUUUUCCUUAGGUAUUUUUUUUGUUGUGAAUAUUAUUGUUCAAGUGUUGUGAUCUUGAUGAUUGUCGUUGACAUCUCGGAUCUUCUUCAUCUCUUUAUUAUUUGAUAAUUUUCAACCAGUUAGUACUUUAUCGACUUUAAAUUCCUCUAUGAUCUUUUCUUUGUAUCUAGAUUUCUUUUAUUAGUUUCAAAAUAGUUGAAUUGCUUGAAUGCCUUAUGCAUUUUGUGGAAGUCAUCCGGGUGUCUCUUCAAUUCAAAUGUUUGUAAACUUUAUCUUUCGUAAGUUAUUUUAAAAAAGUAUCUGAAC